GGUUCUGUCCCCGAUGCCCACCUCCUGGUUCUCGUCUGGCCACUUCGCCUCCCUGUACCUGCAGAGAGCUGGAGCAACCCCGCAGCUGUUUCCGCCUCACGGGGCAGACCAGUCUCCAGAGGGGAUCCUCACCCCAGCGCCCUCUGGUGGCGCCCGUGCCAGGACGGGGCUGGGCCGGACUCCAGGGGUCUGUUCGGAAGGGGAGAGCGGCGAAGCUAAGCCCUGUGACCCCAGAGCACCUCCCGAAAUCCACGUGAACGUUGCUAUAGAGACGGCAGAGACGAGCCGCAGCAGCUCGGAAUUGGACCUCCACCCAUAAGAGAGAGGAAAGAGUCACCCCAGGAAACAGCUGACGUCAGGGCUCUGUUCGCCCCCUCCCCCACGCCAGGUGCCUAGGGGCCACGCUGAGUGUCCUACUCCCGCAAGGACACACCCCACGCCCCACCUGCCGUGGGCUCACCUUUGUGACCCUGAGGCCCUCCUGGGCAAGUGGUAAGGGGUGGGCGUCCGCCCGCCUCCGUGGGACAGGGACUGUUGGGUGCGGGCUGGGCAGUGGGCUGUUUCCUUGGCGGUGUGCCCGCAGGAUCUGCCCUCGGGCUUUCCUUCCCACUGCAGCUCGGGGACUCACACCUGAGUGCUCUGGGUGGUGUCAGGAUGCAAAACGUGCGUGCCCUGGAGCCCAGCGGGGCGUGGAGCGGGGCAGAGAGCUGCUCGGAUCCAGACUCUGCAGCAAGGCGCGAGGUGGGCCUGCGAGACCUCGGGCUCGAGGAGCGCGGAGCAGCCCCGGAGCUCCUGACUGCCCUCUGGGGGCAAGGGCUCCCCUUGCAUCCGCUGUUCUUGUUUUCUUGAUUAUGAAAGGGCCGCAUGAUUUGGGGGCGGGGAGCAUGUCAGCAACACAAAAGGUAAAGGUAAGAAUCAAAGUUCUUGUUCCCCCCAGACCCUGUGCCCUGGGGGUUACCGUUAGGAGGUUUGGGGUGGGGUGGGGCGUCUGGGUCUCCCGUAGCUGCUGAAACAAAUAAUUUAGGCAAACACCGUGCCCCGCAAAACAGCCCGGACGUGUUAUCCUACACUCGGGAGGCCACGGGGUGCAGUGAGGCUUCUGGGGUAAAGCAAGCAGGCUUCCUUCUGGGGAGAACCCUUGCCUCUUCAGCGUCUGGUAGUCUCCAGCUCAUUUAGACCUGCACAUUAUAUUAUACUAAAUUCAUUGCUUUAUGCAUGAAUAUGCAUUAAAUAUACAGAGAUGUGACCGUAUCCCCUAAGAAUAUAUAAUAAAAUCACAAUUAUCUGAUCUUUGCACAUUUGAUAAGAUUUUCCUCCCCAGAUCAGAUAUGGAUAGCGUGUCUUUCCCUGGCGUGGCUCCUACCUUUUCAACUGCUUCCUUCACGAUUGGUCUAUUUGGGCUUUCUAUUUCUGCUGGAGUCAGUUUUAAUAGUUUGUCUUGUUCUACUGUCUGAAUAUCCAAAGUUUACAAACAAUUGUAUGUCAUUUCCCUUUGUAAUUUUUUUUUAAAGAUUUUAUUUAUUUAUUUGACA